UGUCCCUUAAAGAUUAAAAACUACAACGGGACGUGUCGCUCUCCGCCUUUCAGCGAACUGAGCGAAGCCCCCAGUCGGCAGCUGGCGUCUGACCUGCGCGCCUGCAGCCUCUGGCUGAAAUGUUGUUCGGCCGUUUCACUUCGACACAUUUUCAUUCGGAGUACAUUCGGCCCAGAUUCUUUUUAAACAUAAAAUGUAGGAGAGUAUCGCGGAGGCAAAACAGCCGCAGCCGUGCCGAUACCAUUCACGCUGACGCUCAGGUAGGCAGGAGCCGGUGGAUCCGUUAUCCGGAGCGUUUUCACCCGGACCGCCGCUGCCGUAUACCUCAGAAAACGGCUCUUCUCAGGACCCUCUCCCACUAUUACCAAGGACCAAAGUCUGCCUGUGCCGUCUUUGCCAGGCCCUGCACAGAAUCCCAUCAUCGGCGCACUCCUGAUGGCAGAUGAAAAUACAGCGUUGGAUCUUACCACCAGGAAGGACCAAAGGCAGCCGUGUGGCCAAGCUCUACAGAACUCACUACAGCUGAAAUAAAAAAAAAAAACAAAAUGGAUGAAGGCAGAGGGAAAGAAAAGCCUUGCUGUGCACAGGGUCUGUGUGACUCUCCAUCGUUAUGGGCAAACCCACAUCACCCUCAAAUUUAGACAUGCGUAUGGCAUCUAUAGUAGGGGGUGUCCUAUUAUGCAGUUGUUUGACAGAGAAUUUGGGAGAUACCGAUGGGGUAGGUGAGCAAUGGUUGUGGAACCUGGCGCAGGAUUUGCUGUGGAGGACUCAGGUGUACUCAAUCCCGAGCACAUUUCACGAGAGACGCAGAUCCCAUUGCCACGUGCUCCGACAGCCGCCAACAGCGGCCGCGUCCUUACGGAUGCAGUACUACAGACACAGAGGGACACCAUCACAGCGAUGCAAGAGAUGACGAGAGAGCUCCGGGAAAUGAAAAGGCUACUAGGCGAAAAAUAUCUAUUUCAUUAAAGGAUCUUGGUAAAAGGUA